rnacentral:sRNA from 1 species
UCCCGAAGCAGUCAUGCCCCGAGAGGACC